ACGUAGGUGGCAAGCGUUGUCCGGAAUUAUUGGGCGUAAAGCGCGCGCAGGCGGUCCUUUAAGUCUGAUGUGAAAGCCCACGGCUCAACCGUGGAGGGUCAUUGGAAACUGGGGGACUUGAGUGCAGAAGAGGAAAGUGGAAUUCCCGGUGUAGCGGUGAAAUGCGUAGAGAUCGGGAGGAACAUCAGUGGCGAAGGCGGCCAUCUGGGACAACACUGACGCUGAAGCACGAAAGCGUGGGGAGCAAACAGGA
rnacentral:rRNA from 1 species